rnacentral:rRNA from 1 species
UACGGAGGGUGCGAGCGUUGUCCGGAAUCACUGGGCGUAAAGGGCGCGUAGGCGGCUCGUGAAGUCAGUGGUGAAAGCCCAGGGCUCAACUCUGGGUCGGCCACUGAUACUCGCGAGCUCGAGUUUGGUAGAGGCAGAUGGAAUUCCGGGUGUAGCGGUGAAAUGCGCAGAUAUCGGGAGGAACACCAGUAGCGAAGGCGGCACUCUGGGCCGGUACUGACGCUGAGGAGCGAAAGCGUGGGGAGCGAACAGG